UACGGAGGGUGCAAGCGUUGCUCGGAAUUACUGGGCGUAAAGCGUACGCAGGCUGCUUGCUAAGUCGGGUGUGAAAGCCCGGGGCUCAACCCCGGAAUUGCGCCCGAAACUGGCGAGCUUGAGUGCGGGAGAGGGAAGCGGAAUUCCUGGUGUAGAGGUGAAAUUCGUAGAUAUCAGGAGGAACACCGGUGGCGAAAGCGGCUUCCUGGCCCGACACUGACGCUCAUGUACGAAAGCGUGGGGAGCAAACAGG
rnacentral:rRNA from 1 species